CGAAAUCUGAUGGAGCACGCCGCGUGACCAUGAAGGUCUUCGGAUUGUAAAGUUCUGUUGUCAGGGACGAACACGUACCGUUCGAAUGGGGCGGUACCUUGACGGUACCUGACGAGAAAGCCACGGCUAACUACGUGCCAGCAGCCGCGGUAAUA
rnacentral:rRNA from 1 species